AGCUCCAAUAGCGUAUAUUAAAGUUGUUGCAGUUAAAAAGCUCGUAGUUGGAUUUCUGGCGGGAGUCCGGGUCGGCCUUAACGGGUUGCACUGUUGUGACGUCUCGCCGUUUCGAGGGGAAUGGGCUCGCUAUUAGGUUAGUGUGUUCGGGAACCUCGUCGUUUACUGUGAAAAAAUUAGAGUGUUCAAAGCAGGCCUUUGCUGUGAAUACAUUAGCAUGGAAUAAUAAGAUAGGACUGUAGUGCUAUUUUGUUGGUUUGCGUACUAUGGUAAUGAUUAAUAGGGAUAGUUGGGGGUAUUCAUAUUCAAUUGUCAGAGGUGAAAUUCUUGGAUUUAUGGAAGAUGAACUACUGCGAAAGCAUUUACCAAGGAUGUUUUCA
rnacentral:rRNA from 1 species